UCGGAAUCUGGGAGGACCAUCUCCUAAGGCUAAAUACUCUCUAGUGACCGAUAGUGAACCAGUACCGUGAGGGAAAGGUGAAAAGCACCCCGGAAGGGGAGUGAAAUAGAACCUGAAACCGUGUGCUUACAAGUAGUCAGAGCCCGUUAAUGGGUGAUGGCGUGCCUUUUGUAGAAUGAACCGGCGAGUUACGAUUUGAUGCAAGGUUAAGCAGUAAAUGUGGAGCCGUAGCGAAAGCGAGUCUGAAUAGGGCGUUUAGUAUUUGGUCGUAGACCCGAAACCAGGUGAUCUACCCUUGGUCAGGUUGAAGUUCAGGUAACACUGAAUGGAGGACCGAACCGACUUACGUUGAAAAGUGAGCGGAUGAACUGAGGGUAGCGGAGAAAUUCCAAUCGAACCUGGAGAUAGCUGGUUCUCUCCGAAAUAGCUUUAGGGCUAGCCUCAAGUGAUGAUUAUUGGAGGUAGAGCACUGUUUGGACGAGGGGCCCCUCUCGGGUUACCGAAUUCAGACAAACUCCGAAUGCCAAUUAAUUUAACUUGGGAGUCAGAACAUGGGUGAUAAGGUCCGUGUUCGAAAGGGAAACAGCCCAGACCACCAGCUAAGGUCCCAAAAUAUAUGUUAAGUGGAAAAGGAUGUGGCGUUGCCCAGACAACUAGGAUGUUGGCUUAGAAGCAGCCAUCAUUUAAAGAGUGCGUAAUAGCUCACUAGUCGAGUGACACUGCGCCGA
rnacentral:rRNA from 1 species